rnacentral:rRNA from 1 species
CGGGACGGGUGAAGUAUGUCGGGGAAACUGCCGAUGGAGGGGGAUAACUACUGGAAACGGUAGCUAAUACCGCAUAACGUCGCAAGACCAAAGAGGGGGACCUUAGGGCCUCUUGCCAUCGGAUGUGCCCAGAUGGGAUUAGCUAGUAGGUGGGGUAACGGCUCACCUAGGCGACGAUCCCUAGCUGGUCUGAGAGGAUGACCAGCCACACUGGAACUGAGACACGGUCCAG